CAAAGGUAUUCCUAUGAUUACUGCAUUGGUGAGAAUUAAUCUGCCUGAGAGAUUGAGCAAUUUGCCUUUCCAGCCAGUCAAUUUCUUCUGAAUUUUCUCAAUGAGUGGAUUCCAAUCACUCCUUCUCAGCUUGAAAUGGUGGUGCGGUAGAUCCAAAUAAGUUAUAGAAAAUGUAGCCACUUUACUUCCUAGAGUAGGUGCCGCCCUCUUUAGUGCCAUCUCAUCAAUGCCCAAGCCUAACACUUGGGAUUUUUCAAAGUUUAUUUUGAGACCUGAUAA
rnacentral:lncRNA from 1 species